rnacentral:misc_RNA from 1 species
UACAGGCAUGUUAAUUUUUCAUACUAGUAUAAAUUUAGAUGAAGGAAAACCGCCCAUCUGCUAUGGUCUGCCUGCUACUUCACAUCUUCCACGUAAAGAAAGGUAAACUGAGGUGCUGCCCUAUUUUAUCUAUUACCUUAGGUGAUCAUAUAUCAUGGCAGGGGACAUUUUAGUAGUAGAGAGACCCCUGCCACCAGUUUCCUCUUGAAGCACUUCCAGAGUCAUCUUCUGCCCCAUCUUUGUUGAACAUUGAGGUCAUACUAGAGCUCUGGCUAUUCUGGGGAUGAUGAAAGAUGUCUUGACCACCAUAAUAGAUUGACGAACUCAGAUGGCAUGGUUGUACUCUUUGUUCCUGAUAAAGGGAACUUGUAUCUCUACUUGGCAUGUUCUGACCUUCACCCUUGUUGCUUUUAGAAGUGUCAUCUGGAGCUCCAGGUUUGGUGUUCCAAGCUUCAUUUGCAGAAUCUUGUUUAUUUCCAAAGACUUCAGAUCGUAGUAAACCUCUCCCCAGCACCUUAGAAGGAGGUGCAAAUAUAGAGCCAAAAAUCCCAGUUGAAGAUGUAGAAUCCUUGGAGGUGGAGCCAAAAAGUUCAGAAGUGAAGGAAGAAGACGAGGCCAACUGCUUUCCCUCCAUUUCUCACCCUUCCUCAAACCUCUAUUUCUCUUGCACAGAAUAUUUGUAAAUACACUGAACUCAAAUAGCAAUACCAACCCGUCAAAGAUAAAAGAGAGGUUGAUAUACGUUGCAAGUUCUGGCCAAGAAAUAAACAGAGCUUAAGAAUGAAAUGAAUAGGAAGAGGGGAAGAAGAAAAUGACGAUGAUUGAGGAAAAAGAAGCCGAAGGAAACAGAAAAAGCGAGAGAGAGACACGUGAAGAAGAAGU